rnacentral:misc_RNA from 1 species
GAUGAAGAACGUAGCGAAAUGCGAUAAGUAAUGUGAAUUGCAGAAUUCAGUGAAUCAUCGAAUCUUUGAACGCACCUUGCGCCCUUUGGCAUUCCGAAGGGCAUGCCUGUUUGAGUAUCAUGAACACCUCAACUCUUCAUGGUUUUCCAUGAUGAGCUUGGACUUUGGGGGUCUUGCUGGCCUGCGGUCGGCUCCUCUCAAAUGAAUCAGCUUACCAGUGUUUGGUGGGCAUCACAGGUGUGAUAACUAUCUGCGCUUGUGGUUUUCCACCAAGUAACCUUCAGCAGUGGAGGUUCACUGGAGCUCACAGACGUCUCUCCUCAGUGAGGACAGCCCUUUGAAUGUUUGAUCUCAAAUCAGGUAGGACUACCCGCUGAACUUAAGCAUAUCAAUAAGCGAGGA